AUACGUAGGGUGCAAGCGUUAAUCGGAAUUACUGGGCGUAAAGCGUGCGCAGGCGGUUUUGUAAGACAGUGGUGAAAUCCCCGGGCUCAACCUGGGAACUGCCAUUGUGACUGCAAGGCUGGAGUGCGGCAGAGGGGGAUGGAAUUCCGCGUGUAGCAGUGAAAUGCGUAGAUAUGCGGAGGAACACCGAUGGCGAAGGCAAUCCCCCGGGCCUGGACUGACGCUCAUGCACGAAAGCGUGGGGAGCAAACAGGAUUAGAUACCCUGGUAGUCCACGCCCUAAACGAUGUCAACUGGUUGUUGGGGAUUGUUUUCUCAGUAACGAAGCUAACGAGUGAAGUUGACCGCCUGGGGAGUACGGCCGCAAGGUUAAAACUCAAAUGAAUUGACGGG
rnacentral:rRNA from 1 species